rnacentral:tRNA from 1 species
GGAUGUGGCUCAAGUGGUAGAGCGCUUGCCUAACAUACGUGAGGCACUGGGUUCGAUUCUCAGCACCA